GCCCUCGUAGCUCAGCUGGUAGAGCAUGCGCGUACAAAGCGUAGGCGGUGUCCAUGCGUGGGUUCGAAUCCCACCGAGGUUA
rnacentral:tRNA from 1 species